GUGCUACCUGGUCAUUCUGUACCUUUAUUUAAAGAGGCCACACAUCUUUUUUCUGACUUGAAUAAACUGAAACCAGAUGACUCAGGAGUUAAUAUAGCAGAAGCUGCUGCCCAGAACGUGUACUGCUUGAGAACAGAAUACAUUGCUGAUUAUCUCAUGCAGGUAGGAAUCCUCAACCUGUGCCUAGGAUUCAGCAACAAACCACCUGGAACACAUGGUCUCUUAGCACUUGAAGAGGUAGGAAUCCUUACUGUAAAUACAGUACUCAAUUAUACUCAGAUUUAGUAUUUACACUGUUAAGGACUGAGCUUGUCCCCCUAAAAUUCACAGGUUAAAGCCUAACCUGCUAUGUGACUGUAGACAGAGCCUUUAUAAGGGGAUUAAAUGAGGUCAUAAGAAUGAGUCCCUAACCCAACAGGACUAGUGUCCUGGUAAGAAGAGGGAGGCACACCAGGAGUUUGCCGGCACGGAGGAAAAGCCCUGUGAGGACACGGGGAGGGCAGCUAUCUGUUUACACACCAGGAAGAAAUGUCUCACCAGAUACCAACCCUGGCCGUCUCCUUGAUUUUGGAUUUCCAAUCUCCAGAACUGUGAGAAAAUAAAUUUCUGUUUAAGCCA
rnacentral:sRNA from 1 species